rnacentral:rRNA from 1 species
CUACGGGUUGCACCAGUGGGGAAUAUUGCACAAUGGGCGCAAGCCUGAUGCAGCCAUGCCGCGUGUAUGAAGAAGGCCUUCGGGUUGUAAAGUACUUUCAGCGGGGAGGAAGGGAGUAAAGUUAAUACCUUUGCUCAUUGACGUUACCCGCAGAAGAAGCACCGGCGAACUCCGUGCCAGCAGCCGCGGUAAUACGGAGGGUGCAAGCGUUAAUCGGAAUUACUGGGCGUAAAGCGCACGCUGGCGGUUUGUUAAGUCAGAUGUGAAAUCCCCGGGCUCAACCUGGGAACUGCAUCUGAUACUGGCAAGCUUGAGUCUCGUAGAGGGGGGUAGAAUUCCAGGUGUAGCGGUGAAAUGCGUAGAGAUCUGGAGGAAUACCGGUGGCGAAGGCGGCCCCCUGGACGAAGACUGACGCUCAGGUGCGAAAGCGUGGGGAGCAAACAGGAUUAGAUACCCCUGUAGUC